UACGGGGGGGGCAAGCGUUGUUCGGAAUUACUGGGCGUAAAGGGUUCGUAGGUGCCAACUAAGUCAGACGUGAAAUCCCUCAGCUUAACUGGGGAACUGCGUCUGAGACUGGAUGGCUUGAGUGCAGGAGAGGAACGCGGAAUUCCAGGUGUAGCGGUGAAAUGCGUAGAUAUCUGGAGGAACACCGGUGGCGAAGGCGGCGUUCUGGACUGCUACUGACACUGGGAAGAA
rnacentral:rRNA from 1 species